rnacentral:lncRNA from 1 species
UCCCAUGACCUCGGACGCAGACCAAGACCCCAGGGCGUUACGUGUGGUAGACGAUGGCGUCUGCGUGCCACCGCUGUCAUGUAGUCUUGUUUCCGUCCGUUGCGGCGUGCAGUGUAAUGAAGACGCCAUAGCCGAACACAUGAUUGCGGUUCU